GCAUUAAAAUUGUCUGUAGUCCCAGCUACUCCGGAGGCUGAGGUGGGAGGAUCGCUUGAGCUCAGGAGUUCUGGGCUGUAGUGCACUAUGCGGAUCAGUGUCUGCACUAAGUUCGGCAUCAGUAUGGUGACCUCCCGGGAGCAGGGAACCACCAGGGUGCCUAAGGACGGGUGAACCGGCCCAGGUCGGAAAUGGAGCAGGUCAAAACUCCCGUGCUGAUCAGUAGUGGGAUCGUGCCUGUGAGUAGCCACUGCACUGCAGCCUGGGCAACAGAGAGAGACCCCAUCUCUA
ensembl:misc_RNA Metazoa_SRP Metazoan signal recognition particle RNA